AUGUGCUCAAUGACUUCCGGUACGAGGCGCUGUGCCGUCAGUCUAAGAUUGGCAAGUCCACUACCAGCAAGGGAGGAGCGGCACCAUCCUUGGCGGCAGACGCACUCAAAACUGGACGAGGCUACCAAGAUCUUUGGAAGAGAUGAUGAUAAGGAGGUGGUGGUGAAGUUGUUGUUGGACCAGCAAGAUCAGCGGAGGGUGCAGGUGUUGCCCAUCAUUGGGAUGGGAGGUCUUGGCAAGAGGACUCUUGCUAAGAUGGUCUAUAAUGACCAAGGGGUCCAGCAACAUUUCGAGUUGCAGAUGUGGCACUGUGUGUCCGACAACUUUGAUGUCAUUGCUCUUUUUGAAAUCCAUCAUUGA
rnacentral:rRNA from 1 species